rnacentral:rRNA from 1 species
UACGGAGGGGGCGAGCGUUAUUCGGAAUUAUUGGGCGUAAAGGGCGCGUAGGCGGCUGUGCAAGUCAAAGGUGAAAUCCCUCGGCUCAACUGAGGAACUGCCUUUGAAACUGUACGGCUUGAGGCCGGGAGGGGGUAGCGGAAUUCCCAGUGUAGCGGUGAAAUGCGUAGAUACUGGGAGGAACACCAGUGGCGAAGGCGGCUACCUGGACCGGUUCUGACGCUGAGGCGCGAAAGCGUGGGUAGCGAACAGG